rnacentral:miRNA from 1 species
UGAGGCCGUGCGCCCCUGGAUCCA